GCAGACCCGGCAGCCCCUGUGGGCAUCCCGGAUCUCCUCGCACCGUGGAUCAGCGGUGCCCGCCCGCCGCCGGCCCAGGGGCCGCCCCGCCGCCUGCUGGCAGCGCUCGGUACUGCCCGCGGCCCGGCCCGGCCCGAGCAGCGCCCGCCGAGCCCUCAGCGCGGGUAUCGCCACCUCCCCUCACGCUUCUGAGGGCAUUUCUUCUUGCUCUUCGGCGGCGUUUCGCUUUCAACUCAAUUGCCUUCUGCAAGGGCAUCCCCUCCACACAGACUUGCCGGGCUUCAGUUAUAGACCUUACGUGGAAUUUUUGAUCUCGUGGCUGUUUUGCGGCGAGUCAGCUUAAUUAGUCCUAGCAGUCAGUCUCAUCUCUAGGCUGUGGAUGUGGUGUUAGCGAGAGUCCUGGGGACUGGAUCACUUAGUCAGCGCGUCCUGAUGUCAUCCAAAAUCUUCGCCUCGUACAUUUCAGAUGAGGCCCGAAGCCUGCUGGCUUCUCUCUCUUCUGAUCUAUUUUUAAUUAGCAGUUUGGGGCCGCUGCUGUUCCAGCCACAGAAGGUGAUGUCGCUGGCACAGCCUCAUUUGUGUGUGGAUGCGGAUGUUGAUGCCUGCGCUGAGGGCUGUAACAUGUUGUCCAGGCAACAGUGAGCUGGAGAGCAAGGAGUGGGCGCCUGUGGACAGCUCUUGGGAAGAGACCUGCUGGAUGCCAGGAUCUCUAACUAGAAUGGCAGAAUGCCCACAGAAAGAGGACGGGGAGCCAGUAAUGGAAAACUUGUUACUUUUUGAUGAAUUAGCUCCAGAUCAUGCCAGAAGGACAGUUGUUUUCACUGUCCACAAAAUCUGGGCAAAGCAUUCAGGAGAGCUGCAAGCUGUCAGAACAAGCCCUCCCAAAAUGAACUGCUUCAUGGCGUGAAUCAAAAGAAUUCAUCUGAAGGAGAAGAUUUGAAAGACUGGAAAUUCGCUUGCAUACUUCUUGAAGCCAAGAAAGAAUUAAUCAACAAGUCAAAGCCAAACCUGCCCAAAGAGCCCUGUGGAACAGCCAGCAGCUAUUGACGUGUUGGAGAGGAGCCCACAGACACGCCAGGUCCCAGGAGGCCACACCAGAAUGACAUAUUCCUGCUGCAGUCAGAGAGACUCCAGAGGAGAAGCAGGUCUGUGCUGUGCUAUGUGCUUUAGAGAUGCAGUCCAGGGAAUUUGUCAUCCCAAAGAAUUUAGCAUCCAGGAGGAACUUAUAAGUACUGCUGGGAUCUGAGCUUCACUUGGUUCUUUUUUUUAAGGAUGAGGAUUCUCUGCAAGCAGUGUAACUUGAGUCAUGAGUACGUCCUCAACAGCAACUAGAGAUUGAAGGAGUGGUGGGAAUACCUUUGUUUCUCCCCUUGUAGGGGUAUGGUUGGGAUCUCUGCUCUCCAGCUGCCUUGGCUCAUUCACUGUUCCUGUCCACCCCACAGGAGAGAGACCCCAUCUGGGACUCUGUCCAUGGCUCUUGUGCCUGGCAGGACACAAGGCCUGACUGCCAUGCACAGAUUCCCUCCCUGCCUUGUCUCCCAUUCACCCUUCAAUAAUGCUAAAUAUUAACUCAUCCCAGGAACUCAUUUCAUUCCAUGCUUGACUUCACAUCUCAGACCCAGGAGAAGCUCUGCAGGUCUCAGAGCUCAUCAGAAAUCCAUGAUCCUUUCAGAUGCCUAACAACAAAAUGACGGCCUCUGUCUUGUUUCCUGGCCAGACAUUUUCCUCAUGCACCAAAGUUAAAUCCUCCCUCUGAAAUACAUCUUUAUGAAAUAAACUUCCAAGUGCCACUAGCUCCUAACUCCCCUGUGCUUCUAGUUCCCCCAGCCUUGCUGUUCUCCUCUGAUGUCUCCUUUUGCUACCACAGUCAGAGCAAGCUGGUGCAGGCAUUGCCCCGACACUGCUGGGCAGGCAGGUGGGCUGACACAGACACUUCUCAGCCCCACUCCUGGCUCCUUUUUCCACACUCGUCACAGUGACAGGUUGGUCUGGUCUGGGUGGGCUGGGAGAGAGCAGCACAGAUGGGAGACCCAGACAGCCCAUUCAGGAGCACAGCAGUAGGGCAAGAAGAUUCCUGAAGAGUGUUGAAGCUGCAGGGGAACUGCAACCACAACAGGGAAACACGAGUGAACUUGCAUAAAUCACUCCACACACCCCAUUUAUUCCUCUAGUGCUCACAGGAAUGGCAGAGCCCAGCUACCCUUUGGAGUUUAUUGGAUUGCUGCUGGGCUAACAAGAUUCAUGGGAAAAUUAAAAAUUGAUCAGAUGAGCUAAAAAACAUUGUGUUCUGCUAGAAAAAAAAAAAAGUUGGCUUCAAGUAAUUUUGGAAGUUGGAAAAGUGUUUUUUGAACCACACUUGACAUUGCUGACCACAUAUUGUUUUGCAGCUGGAGUGGGGUGAUGGGCAAUUGCUGCAUUCUUGAAAUGGAAGUGAAACAUUUCAGUUGCACACACUGGAAUCUUUCUUCAGGUUUACAGCUGGAAAACACUUUGGUGAUUGUGGCUUUUCAUGACAACUCAUAACAGAUUUAUUAUUCUUUUCUUUGACACCCUAACAAAUUUCACAGGGAGAGAAAACCACACUCUGCUGAGCUCUGGCUACACACACUUGGGGGCCAGGCAUUGUUCUGCAGGGAAGGCUGUAGUGUGUGCAGAUAAAACAAGGGCUACCCAAAGCCCAGUUUUGCAGCUGCCUGUUUAACUCAGUCACAGUAACAGUCAAUAAUCAGAUCAACUGGAGCUGCUCCAGUCUCAAACAAUGACAUCUUGGAGUCUGGGUGCAAGUGUCCCCACCAGGCACUGUCCCUACCUGCACCAGGGGCUGGUUUUGCAAAGCAGAGCCAACAAGGGCCCCAUUCAGCUGCCUAUGCAGAGGCACAGAGCACCAUGGAAGGAUCAUCUGUAGGGGACUGGUUGCUGUUCUGGCCUGGGUCAGGUUACUGCCCACACAGAGCAGCUGGAACCAGGUAGGCUGUGAAAUGAUAUCACCUUCCUCUGUUUAGGCAAGAACACUAUACUGUCCUUAUCUGGUUAAACAGAAAAUAUUCCCUACUCAAAUGUUAGUGGGAGAGUGAGAUU